AUGAGUGAUGAAGGGCAUUUUUCUACUUUUAAUGGAGCAGCAAGGAAAUACGAUGUUACAUCUUAUAACGUACUUGAUUGCAAAAAUGACGCACUGUGGAGUCUGUUUCUCGAUCACGAGGGGAAACGCACUUUUCUCAUUGCAGCUUCCUCCAGGUCCUUGAAAGUCCUCAAGAAUUCCUCCAGCAGCGAGUGGCCCGGCGAGCCCGGCGGGGCCGGCAAGGGCAGCUCCCUGGACUCGGACGAGUGCAGCCUGAGCAGUAGCACCCAGAGCAGCGGCUGCGCCCCGGGCGGGAGCAGGCAGGAGUCCCUGCAACAGCCCCGGCCAGGCCUGGCUGAUCUGUCAGACAGUCUCAUCAAGGAGAGUGACAUUCUGAGCGACGACGAGGACGACUACCAUCAGACUCUCAGACGGGGCAGCCCUACCAAAGACAUUGAAAUUCAGUUCCAGAGACUGAGAAUCUCCGACGGCCCCGAUGCAAAGCCAGCCGAACAGCAGCCUGGCACGGAGGGCCGGCCCAACGGGGAGCAGCCCAAGCUGGUGCGGGGGCACUUCUGCGCCAUUAAGCGGAAAGCGAACAGCACCAAGCGGGACAGGGGAACUUUGCUGAAGGCACAGAUUCGCCACCAGUCCCUUGACGGUCAGUCUGAAAAUGCCAACCUUGAUCUCAGUUCUGUCCUCCAGCGAGAGUUCAGUGUCCAGAGUUUAACCUCGGCGGUCAGCGAGGAGUGUUUUUAUGAAACCGAGAACCACGGGAAGUUGUAGUGCCGUUUCGAUCCAGAUGUGGGCUCGAUGGCUCGUUUUGCUUUGAAACUGGUGGUCAAGUGGAAACGGCAGAAAAACUACUCAUUAUUGGGUUUUGUGCGGCGUACAUUUUCUCCACAAAAUAGUUGUAAAGAUCUAAGUUAUUUUAAUUUAUUGUAGAUCAGAAAACUAGAUUGAACUGAUCAGAAUCUGUAAAUUAGUUUAUAGCCCUUUUGAGCAGGUAUCAAAAUGACUUAGGAUCCUUAAAAAUGCAAUCUAUUUUAAUUUAUGUGGAAAAAGUAAGAUGGGGGAGUUGUGAUUAAUAGGUCAUUGUUUUUUUUCCCAAUCCUCUGGGCAUUUUCUUUGAGCUGUUAGUUUUCGCUUUAUUUAAAGCAUAUUUAUUUUAAUCUGGGUGAGGGGCACAAUGUGCAGAUCUUUCAUUUUUGUAAGGUUGUUAACAGAUGCCGUUUAUACUGAAUAUGUCAUAUCUAUGCAGUAUAUAUAUUAAAAGAAAGCUUGUACUGUAUCUUAUUUGAUUAUAUUUAUUUUCUCUACCAAGCUGUACAGUAAAAGGGAAGUAAGUCA